UACGUAGGGGGCAAGCGUUGUCCGGAAUCACUGGGCGUAAAGGGCGCGUAGGCGGCUGGUGAAGUCUUGUGUGAAAGUCCGGGGCUCAACCCCGGAUCGGCACGGGCGACUCGCUGGCUGGAGCCCACUAGAGGCGGGUGGAAUUCCGGGUGUAGCGGUGGAAUGCGUAGAGAUCCGGAAGAACACCGGUGGCGAAGGCGGCCCGCUGGGGUGGAGCUGACGCUGAGGCGCGACAGCGUGGGGAGCAAGCAGG
rnacentral:rRNA from 1 species